ensembl:snRNA U4 U4 spliceosomal RNA
AUUCUUUCGCAGUAGCAGUAUCGUAGCCUAUGAGGUCUAUCCGAGGCGUGAUUUUUUGCUAGUUGAAAACUUUACCCAAUUCCCCUCUGGACGAUUUGAAAUACAAUCGGCUAAGACAAUUUUUGCCAGUCUCUUUGGAGA